rnacentral:rRNA from 1 species
UCUUGGCCAGCCUUCUGAAAGGAAGAUUAAUACAAGAUGGCAUCAUGAGUCCGCAUGUUCACAUGAUUAAAGGUAUUCCGGUAGACGAUGGGGAUGCGUUCCAUUAGAUAGUAGGCGGGGUAACGGCCCACCUAGUCUUCGAUGGAUAGGGGUUCUGAGAGGAAGGUCCCCCACAUUGGAACUGAGACACGGUCCAAACUCCUACGGGAGGCAGCAGUGAGGAAUAUUGGUCAAUGGGCGAGAGCCUGAACCAGCCAAGUAGCGUGAAGGAUGACUGCCCUAUGGGUUGUAAACUUCUUUUAUAAAGGAAUAAAGUCGGGUAUGGAUACCCGUUCGCAUGUACUUUAUGAAUAAGGAUCGGCUAACUCCGUGCCAGCAGCCGCGGUAAUACGGAGGAUCCGAGCGUUAUCCGGAUUUAUUGGGUUUAAAGGGAGCGUAGAUGGAUGUUUAAGUCAGUUGUGAAAGUUUGCGGCUCAACCGUAAAAUUGCAGUUGAUACUGGAUAUCUUGAGUGCAGUUGAGGCAGGCGGAAUUCGUGGUGUAGCGGUGAAAUGCUUAGAUAUCACGAAGAACUCCGAUUGCGAAGGCAGCCUGCUAAGCUGCAACUGACAUUGAGGCUCGAAAGUGUGGGUAUCAAACAGGAUUAGAUACCCUGGUAGUCCACACGGUAAACGAUGAAUACUCGCUGUUUGCGAUAUACUGCAAGCGGCCAAGCGAAAGCGUUAAGUAUUCCACCUGGGGAGUACGCCGGCAACGGUGAAACUCAAAGGAAUUGACGGGGGCCCGCACAAGCGGAGGAACAUGUGGUUUAAUUCGAUGAUACGCGAGGAACCUUACCCGGGCUUAAAUUGCAGAUGAAUUACGGUGAAAGCCGUAAGCCGCAAGGCAUCUGUGAAGGUGCUGCAUGGUUGUCGUCAGCUCGUGCCGUGAGGUGUCGGCUUAAGUGCCAUAACGAGCGCAACCCUUGUUGUCAGUUACUAACAGGUUCCGCUGAGGACUCUGACAAGACUGCCAUCGUAAGAUGUGAGGAAGGUGGGGAUGACGUCAAAUCAGCACGGCCCUUACGUCCGGGGCUACACACGUGUUACAAUGGGGGGUACAGAGGGCCGCUACCACGCGAGUGGAUGCCAAUCCCCAAAACCUCUCUCA